AAUCGUCAGUUCUUAAGGAGAGAUUAGCUGCUGGUGAUGAUUCUUCUACUGCAUUUGUUCUUUCAUCCGAAGCAGCAUUGUCAGGAGCUGAAUCAACUAAAGACAUGCAGGCGCAGGCAGGGCGGUCAAGCUAUGUGUCAGCGGCUAUCCUUGCGACAGUUCCGGAUCCGGGGGCGAUGGCAGCAGCUGCUUUGGCUGUGAAGGCUAAAUAUGAAAAAGCUUCUUGAACUCUCAUCUUUCGUCUUCAACAUUCAUUCUACCUUUGUUGAGUUUUGUUUACUAAUUGGCUUUCCGCUUUUGCUUUUUUCCUCUUUUUUUUGGAUGCAUCAAGCCGAGAGAGCCAGCUUCAUACACACAC